rnacentral:rRNA from 1 species
ACUGCUCAGUAACACGUGGAUAACCUGCCCUUGGGACCGGGAUAACCCCGGGAAACUGGGGAUAAUACCGGAUAACGCAUAUCUGCUGGAAUGCUUUAUGCGUAAAAUGGAUUUGUCUGCCCAAGGAUGGGUCUGCGGCCUAUCAGGUAGUAGUGGGUGUAAUGUACCUACUAGCCUACGACGGGUACGGGUUGUGAGAGCAAGAGCCCGGAGAUGGAUUCUGAGACAUGAAUCCAGGCCCUACGGGGCGCAGCAGGCGCGAAAACUUUACAAUGCGGGAAACCGUGAUAAGGGGACACCGAGUGCCAGCAUCAUAUGUUGGCUGUCCAGAUGUGUAAAAUACAUCUGUUAGCAAGGGCCGGGCAAGACCGGUGCCAGCCGCCGCGGUAACACCGGCGGCCCGAGUGGUGAUCGUGAUUAUUGGGUCUAAAGGGUCCGUAGCCGGUUUGGUCAGUCCUCCGGGAAAUCUGACGGCUCAACCGUUAGGCUUUCGGUGGAUACUGCCAGACUUGGAACCGGGAGAGGUAAGAGGUACUACAGGGGUAGGAGUGAAAUCUUGUAAUCCCUGUGAGACCACCUGUGGCGAAGGCGUCUUACCAGAACGGGUUCGACGGUGAGGGACGAAAGCUGGGGGCACGAACCGGAUUAGAUACCCGGGUAGUCCCAGCCGUAAACGAUGCUCGCUAGGUGUCAGGCAUGGCGCGACCGUGUCUGGUGCCGCAGGGAAGCCGUGAAGCGAGCCACCUGGGAAGUACGGCCGCAAGGCUGAAACUUAAAGGAAUUGGCGGGGGAG